rnacentral:rRNA from 1 species
UACGUAGGGUGCAAGCGUUGUCCGGAAUUAUUGGGCGUAAAGAGCUCGUAGGUGGCCUGUCGCGUCGGCUGUGAAAAACUCGGGGCUCAACUCCGAGCUUGCAGUCGAUACGGGCAGGCUAGAGUUCGGCAGGGGAGACUGGAAUUCCUGGUGUAGCGGUGAAAUGCGCAGAUAUCAGGAGGAACACCGGUGGCGAAGGCGGGUCUCUGGGCCGAUACUGACACUGAGGAGCGAAAGCGUGGGGAGCGAACAGG